rnacentral:lncRNA from 1 species
UAUAUAGAAUUGAGCUCCUAUGCUUUUAAAAGUACCAAGACAUUAGUACUUGUAGAUUUUUAGCCAUUGGAUUAAGAGAUAUGCGGUUAGGAUGAUGCGGGGCCCAUAGGGUUGAGUGAGUGGUUGGUUAAAUAGUAUAAUCUAAUGGUUGAAAAUGAUCCGUGGAGUAAAUCUAACAGUAAAAAACUUACAAGCACCAAGUGAUUGGUGCUUUUACUAGCACCAUAGCUGGACUAUAUAUAUAUAUAUAGUAGCACUACUAUACUCUUAUGAGUAUUGGGUCCUUCGUACUCAUAAGUUGUUUUCGAUGAUGGAGCUUCCGAAUCGACGAUUCACUCCGUUAAAUAUGAUCUAGAGUAUUUUAAACUUCUAGAAAAUAAAUUUCGUAAUUUUUCGAAAUCAUAAUAAUGCCCAUCAAGCGGGCAUAAAAUGAAUGGUCAAAAUCGAACGACGUCUUAAAAAUGAAUGAUCGGAUCCUUCAAUUUAAGAUCGGAGUUAUUGAUCUUUAUCUAGGUAGUGAAUAGAAUUUUCUAUCAAAAAUUCAACCUCUUCGGAUUCUUUUGCACCGUUAAACUAACAAGUAUCCAUACCGGCCGUUAAAAAUUAUCAAUUUUGUGAGAUUUUGAUCAUAACGUAAAUGAUGUCUAAAAAUUAUGAAAUUUGAUUUCUAGAAGUUUUAAAUGUUCUAGAAAAUGUUUAACGGUAUGGAUCGUCGAUUCGGAAGCUCUAUUAUCGAAAACGACUUAUGAGUACGAAG